rnacentral:misc_RNA from 1 species
GUCCACUGGUCCUCAUCUAAGGGCUUGUUUCAAUUCUGUUCCUCACUUUCAAUUUGUAUAAAAACUAAUACUAAAAUAUCUGUGAACCGAUAUUACUGUUUUCUAGAUUAAUCUGCUCACAUGCCACAUUCAUUCUGACAACAAGUUUCUUUCUUCUCCAAUUUCUUUCUCGCUCUCUCUAAUUUGCUCACAUUUGCCUGCUCUCUCUGAUUAUGCCUCUCUCUCACUGGUU